rnacentral:lncRNA from 1 species
AACAUGAGUGAAAGAAAUCAUCAUUACAAGAAGGGAUUAGAUGUGUUUCCACCCUUGAAUCCUUGCUUGAAUGCCUCUUUGAUCCUCUGAAAUAGCCGUCAAAAAUCAGUUUUUGAUCCAGAAAUUCGUGCCCUAAAAAUCAGAAAAUGUUUUGAAUUUAUAGUGCAGUUUUCGUGUCAAGCCAAACUUGGAUCUGCCCAAGCUGGGCGCAACAGACAGUGGCUCAGACAGAAAACUUAAAAUUUUUCUGAGCCAGGCUUGGUUUUCCUGAGCCAGGCUUAGUUGACAGCAAUAACA